rnacentral:rRNA from 1 species
CUUGAACGCUGGCGGCAGGCCUAACACAUGCAAGUCGAACGAGUAGCGGACGGGUGAAUAAUGUAUGGGAAUCUGCCCGAUAGAGGGUGCUGACUACUGUAAACGGUAGCUAAUCCCGCAUACUAUCGGCUGAACCCAUAUGGGAUUAGCUAGUAGGUGGGGUAAAGGCUCACCUAGGCGACGAUCCCUAGCUGGUCUGAGAGGAUGAUCAGCCAAACUGGAACUGAGACACGGCCCAGACUCCUACGGGAGGCAGCAGUGGGGAAUAUUGCAAAAUGGGCGCAAGCCUGAUGAAGCCAUGCCGCGUGUAUGAAGAAGGCCUUAGGGUUGUAAAGUACUUUCAGCGGGGAGGCGUUACCCGCAGAAGAAGCACCGGCUAACUCCGUGCCAGCAGCCGCGGUAAUUC